UACGAAGGGGGCUAGCGUUGUUCGGAUUUACUGGGCGUAAAGCGCGCGCAGGUGGUUUCUUAAGUCUGAUGUGAAAGCCCACGGCUCAACCGUGGAGGGUCAUUGGAAACUGGGGAGCUUGAGUGCAGGAGAGAAGAGUGGAAUUCCACGUGUAGCGGUGAAAUGCGUAGAGAUGUGGAGGAACACCAGUGGCGAAGGCGACUCUUUGGCCUGUAACUGACACUGAGGCGCGAAAGCGUGGGGAGCAAACAGG
rnacentral:rRNA from 1 species